AAAGUGCCCCUUCAAAUAGAGAUACUGUUUGGAAUUCCUCUACCUGUUAGACCUUCAGUACUUGAUGGAAGAAGCAGAGUAUAUGGAACAUUAACAGGUCCACUUCUAUUCUUGAGAUUCCCAUCUUUGUUCCUUUCAAUAAUUCUACUUUCAACGUCAUACAUAUCUUUUCCAAAUUUCUCAAACCUUUCUAUUGCAUCUUUGUCUGAAGUCCACUUAAUGCUAUCCCUUUGUCCAAGAUAAACUUCAUCAGAAGCAUGCCUUGACAAUAUUUCAAUUAGUGAAACUCCAAGAAGUGUUUGCAACAUUGAAUUGACUGUUUUCAAGUAAGCCUUCUCAGGCUUUGAUUCAAGUUCUUUGUACUCAGCACUUCCUACUUCAGGCAUAUGCCUACGACUUAUAGUUGGUCGAUUCGGAAUAAAGCCUCCAUAAGGAUAUUGUCCAAAGUUAACCGCAGCAUGAAGAGCCGAAGAUAUCCAUAUGAUGGUAGUACAUGCUUCCACCAGUUCGUUGAAAUUUUGCAACUUUGGCCACCAUGUUUCAUUUUUCUUAUCAGCGUGACCUUUCUCUCUAGCCUCUUUCCACCAAGAUUGAAGUUCAACAUCAUUUCGAAUUGCAUUGUCAUCUUUGUAGUAUAGAGAGCAAUAGUUUGUCACCCAUGUUUUGAUA
rnacentral:lncRNA from 1 species